UACGUAGGGUGCGAGCGUUGUCCGGAUUUAUUGGGCGUAAAGAGCUCGUAGGCGGUUUGUCGCGUCGGCCGUGAAAUCUCCACGCUUAACGUGGAGCGUGCGGUCGAUACGGGCAGGCUUGAGUUCGGUAGGGGAGACUGGAAUUCCUGGUGUAGCGGUGAAAUGCGCAGAUAUCAGGAGGAACACCGGUGGCGAAGGCGGGUCUCUGGGCAAUAACUGACGCUGAGGAGCGAAAGCGUGGGGAGCGAACAGG
rnacentral:rRNA from 1 species